rnacentral:lncRNA from 1 species
AAGAACGAGCGACGGACAAGUCCCGACGUCUUGCGAAAAGGAGAAGCUUUACAAGCAAUUCAGCGAGCACCUUGCGUGCACAAGAGAAAAGAGGGAGAGGGAAAAAACAAGGACUUUAGAGAGUUGAACGAACAGCUGCAAGUCCACAAAUAGCUGCUCACCGGGUGCCAGGCACGACAACAAGUUUCCGUCAAGGUAACGUGCGAACUUGCGAAAGGUUGUUCAACGCCCGACACUAUACCGAAGCCCCAUCCAGCCCUGUGCCACCCGGGGGGUUUAAAGGGGCUGAGAUGGCUGACAUUUUGGUGAACGGAGGCAGGUUGCAGAAAAUAGCCCGCGGCACACGAAAACGGAGCUGUUUCGGACUGUUUCGGGGCUGUUUUGCUCGGUUCGGUGAGCGGUUGCUUUGUAGCGCUGCAACUUAUUCGAACUUACAUUUUUACAAGCAAAAUGACUCAAAACCAAGGCAAAACAGGCUGCCAAGUAGAUGUACAUGUAGAUGAGAGCGACGAACGGUUCGUUGAACGGAGUUGUUGCGGGUGCGCGACGACCGUUCGUGACAUUCUCCCCCACUUAAACUAUCGACGCCCUCGUCGACGCUUGUUUGUAGUUAUUGAUGAUUGCUUCUUCAUGUUGUAGGGCGUCUUCAGGCUCCCAACUGGCUUCAGUUCGGGCCACUUCACCAAGUACUCUAUCUGCUCAGCUCCAUUGGGUAGCUUUAUCUUGCGGUCCGCCAUAAUGGGUUCAACACGCUUCUCGUAGGAGGCUGUGAUGGAAGGUAGCCGAGUUGGAACAUUUCGGGAAGCAUCUUGUGGAUCCGAGUGAUAGGCUUUUAGGUUGCUAGCGUGAAGAAAGUUGUGAAUUUUGAACCACACCGGCAGUUGCAACUUGUAAGAGACGUUGCCUACCCUGCUGAUAAUUGGGAAGGGCCCUUCAUACUUGCGCACUAAUCCUUUGUGGACUUUGUUCCUAAAGAAUUGGAGUGAUGCUGGUUGGAGCUUUACCAACACCAAAUCGCCAACUUUGAACUCUUGCGGUCGCCUUCCCAAGUCUGCCCACUUCUUCAUCCUUUUUGUCGCCUUCUCCAAAUAAGCCCGCGCAAUAUCUGCAUUUCAGUGCCACUCCUUUGCGAAGUGGUAGGCUGACGGACUACUCCCAGUAUACCCAAUUGCCAUGGUGUGCGGAGUCGACGAUUGUUGUCCUGUAAUGAUCUUACACUUGUCCGAUUGGGGGGGUGGAUGGAAGCCGUCAAAGCAUUGAGUGCCUGUUUUUGUGGGCACUCCCUCACCAUAUGCGGUCCUUUGCACAAGAAGCAUCCUCCAGGUUUUGAGGCAUUGCCUUUCGGGUUUGGCCCUUUGUGGGAACUCUUCUUCUUUUAUUCACCCCCGAGCUCCUUCCCUCGAGAAUGUUUUGGAGGGCGAUUGCCUGAAGAUUGUUUUCUUCUCCCUGGGUCUUCGAAGGAAACAAAGUCGGUGAGCCUUUCUGCAGCAGCAAUUGCCCCGACCACAUCGGUAACAUUCCUUCGAUUUAGUUCCUGUUGAGCCCAUGGCUUCAAACCAUCGAGGAAGCUGAAUAACUUGUCCUUCUCGGGCAUGUCCUGUAUGUCCAGCAUUAGUGUAGAAAAUUGUUUCACAUAGUCUCGAAUGGUGGUACUCUGGCGGAGUUGUCUCAACUUCCUUCUUGCGACGAACUCUGUGUUCUCCGGUAGGAACUGAGUUCUUAACUCCCGCUUCAAGUCCUCCUAUGUGUCAACCCGACACCGACCUUGUUGGAUCUCCUCCCAACGGGUUCGUCACCAAAGUUUCACAUCUCCGUUCAGAUACAUUGUUGCUAUAGAAACUUUGGUAUUUUCAGAAUCGGGCCUCGUAGCUCGAAAGUAUUGUUCCAUGUCGAACAGAAAUUUCUCGAGCUCUUUGGCAUCUCUGGCCCCUCCAUAUCCAUGAGGCUCGGGUGCCCUCAAAUUUUAUGGUGGUGCAACGUGGGUGUUGCUUCCUCCCGCAUUUAGUGCUCUAGUGAGCAUAGUCACCCUUGAAGUGAGUUCCGCCACAACUUCCUGCAGGUGUUGCACGGAGUCUUUGGUGUCAUCUGACAGUCGGUCGACUAGGGCCUCGACCUUGUCGAUCCUGGACUCCGCUUCCUCUUGUGAGCUCUCUACCCCGACAAGCCUUUGUUGGCCAUGGUAGAGUUCCUCCACGCUCGCUUCCAGAACAUCCAGGCGGGUUUCCGCCGUUGUGAGUCUCUCCUUGUGACUCUUUUUCCCAGUUAGCGCUCCAGAUUGCGCUUCCUCCGCUCGCGGAGAAUAGCCAACUUCUCGCUCAUCAUGUUCGCUGCCGCGCUCCUCUUGAGCGGCUCCAACAGCAUGAGAGCGAGUGUGCACAUGCAGCCCACCUGCGGCUGCUUAGGGCAAGGGUCCGGCUUGCCCCGUCUUGCUUGAUUCGCCACGAUGCUUUGCCAUGGCGAAGUUCCUUCGCUGCUCGCUCGAAGUGCUUGCCCGCUCUGAUACCACAAUGUCACGGCCUUAGCUGAAAGGCCGUGAGGCACCCUUGCGGCCAAGACGCGAACUUACCUUGCGUUGCCUAAGUCGCGAGGCACCCUUGCGGCAAAGACGCGAACUUAGCUUCCAUUGCCUAAGUCGCGCUUCGCCAUUGCGAUAUUGCUCCGCAAAGAUCAGCCCACUUGCAACCUCUCGCAGGUCCCGAAGGACCUGUAAAAGAGAAAGUUGAUUAGUUCGAAAGAACGAGCGAUGGACAAGUCCCGAUGUCUCGCGAAAAGGGGAAGCUUUACAAGCAAUUCAGCGAGCACCUUGCGUGCACAAGAGAAAAGAGGGAGAGGGGGAAAACAAGGACUUUAGAGGGUUGAACGAACAGCUGCAAGUCCACAAACAGCUGCUCACCGGGUGCCUGGCGCGACAACAAGUUCUCGUCAAGGUAACGUGCGAACUUGCGAAAGGUUGUUCAACGCCCGACAC